AGUUAUUUGAACAUGCUUCACUUAUAUAUAUAUAUUUACUAGAUUUUAACCCGCGGUAUACCGCGGGACGAUUUAUUUUUUAAAAGUAAUAUAUAUUAAAAUUUGUAAAUUUUAUUUUUAUAAAAUAUUUAUA
rnacentral:sRNA from 1 species